rnacentral:rRNA from 1 species
AUUGAGCGCUGGCGGCAGGCUUAACACAUGCAAGUCGAGCGGAGAGAGGUAGCUUGCUACUGAUCUUAGCGGCGGACGGGUGAGUAAUGCUUAGGAAUCUGCCUAUUAGUGGGGGACAACAUUUCGAAAGGAAUGCUAAUACCGCAUACGUCCUACGGGAGAAAGCAGGGGAUCUUCGGACCUUGCGCUAAUAGAUGAGCCUAAGUCGGAUUAGCUAGUUGGUGGGGUAAAGGCCUACCAAGGCGACGAUCUGUAGCGGGUCUGAGAGGAUGAUCCGCCACACUGGGACCGAGACACGGCCCAGACUCCUACGGGAGGCAGCAGUGGGGGAUAUUGGACAAUGGGCGGAAGCCUGAUCCAGCCAUGCCGCGUGUGUGAAGAAGGCCUUAUGGUUGUAAAGCACUUUAAGCGAGGAGGAGGCUACUUUAGUUAAUACCUAGAGAUAGUGGACGUUACUCGCAGAAUAAGCACCGGCUAACUCUGUGCCAGCCGCCGCAGUAAAAC